CCUGGUUGAUCCUGCCAGUAGCAUAUGCUUGUCUCAAAGUUUAAGCCAUGCAUGUAUAAGUCCACACGGCUGGAAAAGUGAAACUGCGAAUGGCUCAUUAAAUCAGUUAUGGUUCCUUUGAUCGCUCACCCUCUACUUGGAUAACUGUGGCAAUUCUAGAGCUAAUACAUGCAAACGAGCGCUGACCUUCGGGGAUGCGUGCAUUUAUCAGACCUAAAACCCGCGCGGGGUGCUGCCGCGUGGUGGCCCCCGGCCUGUUUGGUGACUCUAGAUAACCUUGGGCCGAUCGCUCGCCCUCGCGGCGGCGACGUCUCAUUCGAAUGUCUGCCCUAUCAACUUUCGAUGGUACUCUAUGUGCCUACCAUGGUGACCACGGGUAACGGGGAAUCAGGGUUCGAUUCCGGAGAGGGAGCCUGAGAAAUGGCUACCACAUCCAAGGAAGGCAGCAGGCGCACAAAUUACCCAUUCACGACACGUGGAGGUAGUGACGAAAAAUAACAAUACAGGACUCUUUCGAGGCCCUGUAAUUGGAAUGAGUGUACUUUAAAUCCUUUGGCGAGUACCAAUUGGAGGGCAAGUCUGGUGCCAGCAGCCGCGGUAAUUCCAGCUCCAAUAGCGUAUCUUAAAGUUGCUGCAGUUAAAAAGUCUAGUAACAAAAUUAGCUAUAGGAUGUGGAAUAGCACUACUGAUCUUUGGCAUUGUCUUUUGUUGUUGCAUUCUUGUAUUAAGAUCUAUGAUAGCAUCCAGAUUGGACAAACAAAUGUUCCUCUCAACAACCGAGAUUGACAAACCAAAGUACCCAGGUCUCUUCCCGGUCCUAGAAUGGAUACACAGUGAUUCCAAUAAUAGCGAUGAUGAUAUGGCCAAAAA
rnacentral:rRNA from 1 species